AGAGUCGUCCUCGACAGCUUGGCUGGUUAGGCCGCCUCCUCCUUCCCAGAGGAAGGCAGGGCGACUGCAUGCGUGAGCGUCACGCGUGUCGGGUCACCGGACGGGUGCUGGCUGGGCCACCGCGGUUACCGUAUGUGUUCGAUGACAUGGGCUCUCGUAAUAUGUCACCGUGCUCAGCGUUCCUAGGGACUGACACUCAGGAGAGCGACGACUGUUGUCACACUUAAGUGACUCCGUCAAUAACUGGCCAGGUGACCUUAAGCAAAUUACUAACUUCCUCAGGCCCCUGCCCUCUUAACUGUAAAAUGGGGCUGAUAACAAUACCCACUUCACGGACAGUUUUUUUGAAGAUUAAGGAAAACAUGGCACGUAAAGCCUUUGGCACAGCGCCUUACCCAGAAAAGAGAAAGAGAAUGCCCAUGUGUUGGGGAGGGGCUAAUGAAGUGAGAGAGAGAAUCCGAAGCAGCGCCCAGUGCAGAACCGAACUCGGGGCUCAAUUCCAGGACCCUGGGAUCAUGACCUGAGUCGAAAUCAAGAGUGGGAUGCCCAACCAACCUAGAAGGCCCCAGAAUGAGAUGGUUCUAAUGAUUGAGUAGCCUCUGUAAGUAAACCAAAACCAAAGCCUAGAAUGCCUCAAAAGUUAUGAAUUUGAAACCUAAGGACAACCAAUCACCAACAGCCACCUAGGCUUUCCUAAAUAUGCAACCGCCUAAGAUGUGGUCAGUCAAAUAAUGUUGCUUUGCUUCUGCCUCUAUAAGUCUUUCUCCUAGCUCCCGUCGGUGGAGUGCUUCCGAUCAUUUCGCAUUUGGCAGUGUCCGAUUCCUGCUCAAAUAAACUCUUAGAAAUUUUAAUAUG